AGACUUACUUGGCAGGGAAAAUAAAGUGGUCAAAAAGGUGGUUUUCCCAGGGUAAGGUUCAUCCAUUGCACUCCAGGUGUGCUGACCUCUGUUAUUUCCUCACAUGAGAGAAAUUGCAUAAUUUAUGGUAUUGGGGGACUUUGUUAGCAUGCGCCACAU
ensembl:snRNA U1 U1 spliceosomal RNA